rnacentral:tRNA from 1 species
UAAAAGGUGGCUGAGUUAUAGGCGUUAGAUUGUAAAUCUAAACACGGGUUAUUCCCUCUUUUAA